rnacentral:rRNA from 1 species
GUGCCAGCCGCCGCGGUAAUACCGGCAGCCCAAGUGAUGGCCGCUGUUAUUGGGCCUAAAGCGUCCGUAGCUGGCCGCACAAGUCCGUCGGGAAAUCCGCCCGCUCAACGGGCGGCCGUCCGGCGGAACCUGUGUGGCUUGGGACCGGGAGGCCUGAGGGGUACGAUCGGGGUAGGAGUGAAAUCCCAUAAUCCCGCACGGACCACCGAUGGCGAAAGCACUUCGAGAAAACGGACCCGACAGUGAGGGACGAAAGCUGGGAUCUCGAACCGGAUUAGAAACCCGGGUAGUCC